GACAUAUGUUUGUAUUUGGAGUAUGCUGAUUCUGUGAAUGUGAUGCAUACUUUUCAAGUGAUGAAUAAUGUGGAAAAACUGUAUUUCUCUGCCGAUGAUAAUUACAUUACCCAUUGUGUAAGGUAAUUGUAUCACAGGCAGAGGGGAGUAUUUUGUGUGGGAGUGUCUGAGUGUAUUGUAUGUGUUUAUUGGUUGUUUUCCAAAACCCUGUGGGUGGUACUAAUGUGUAUAUAAGAACAAUAAACCCACAGCUCUGACUGUUCACUGCUUGACCCUCAACACGGAGCUUUGUCUCGUUCUUGGGGGGAUUUACUGUAUGCUGUUAGAGACUGAUAGCAAGGAGUGUAAACUGCUUGGGUGCUUUUCCUGUUCAGCUGCUAGCAGCUAUUCGUGAGGUUCCAGUUCGGGAGUUUGGAGUGCUACUUGGUAUCCUGUUCGGGAGUUUGUGGUUCUGCAGUAGCUGUGCCUGUGUCUCUGGAAGGGGAAGAUCUACUAAACGGCGGUUUAAC